GAAGCAUAACACUGAACGCGCCUGCGCAAUGGGUGUCGGGUCCGCUUUUUCCCAAUCCGGACGUAAUCGUGGUUUUUGUUCUGCAAUAGACGGCUUAGAGGGAGGGGCUUUUUCGCCUAUACCUACUGUAGCUUCUCCACGUAUGGACCCUAAAGGCUACUGCUGCUACUACGGGGCCAGACAGUUACUGUCUCAGCUCUAGGAUGUGCGUUCUUCCACUAGAAGCUCUUCUGAGGGAGGUAAUUAAAAAACAGUGGAAUGGAAAAACAGUGCUGUAGUCAUCCUGUAAUAUGCUCCUUGUCAACAAUGUAUACAUUCCUGCUAGGUGCCAUAUUCAUUGCUUUAAGCUCAAGUCGCAUCUUACUAGUGAAGUAUUCUGCCAAUGAAGAAAACAAGUAUGAUUAUCUUCCAACUACUGUGAAUGUGUGCUCAGAACUGGUGAAGCUAGUUUUCUGUGUGCUUGUGUCAUUCUGUGUUAUAAAGAAAGAUCAUCAAAGUAGAAAUUUGAAAUAUGCUUCCUGGAAGGAAUUCUCUAAUUUCAUGAAGUGGUCCAUUCCUGCCUUUCUUUAUUUCCUGGAUAACUUGAUUGUCUUCUAUGUCCUGUCCUAUCUUCAACCAGCCAUGGCUGUUAUCUUCUCAAAUUUUAGCAUUAUAACAACAGCUCUUCUAUUCAGGAUAGUGCUGAAGAGGCGUCUAAACUGGAUCCAGUGGGCUUCCCUCCUGAUUUUAUUUUUGUCUAUUGUGGCCUUGACUGCUGGGACUAAAACUUUACAGCACAACUUGGCAGGACAUGGAUUUCAUCACGAUGCCUUUUUCAGCCCUUCCAAUUCCUGCCUUCUUUUCAGAAGUGAGUGUCCCAGAAAAGACAAUUGUACAGCAAAGGAAUGGACUUUUCCUGAAGCUAAAUGGAACACCACAGCCAGAGUUUUCAGUCACAUCCGUCUUGGCAUGGGCCAUGUUCUUAUUAUAGUCCAGUGUUUUAUUUCUUCAAUGGCUAAUAUCUAUAAUGAAAAGAUAUUGAAGGAAGGGAACCAGCUCACUGAAAGCAUCUUCAUACAGAACAGCAAACUCUAUUUCUUUGGCAUUCUGUUUAAUGGGCUGACUCUGGGCCUUCAGAGGAGUAACCGUGAUCAGAUUAAGAACUGUGGAUUUUUUUAUGGCCACAGUGCAUUUUCAGUAGCCCUUAUUUUUGUAACUGCAUUCCAAGGCCUUUCAGUGGCUUUCAUUCUGAAGUUCCUGGAUAACAUGUUCCAUGUCUUGAUGGCCCAGGUUACCACUGUCAUUAUCACAACAGUGUCUGUCCUGGUCUUUGACUUCAGGCCCUCCCUGGAAUUUUUCUUGGAAGCCCCAUCAGUCCUUCUCUCUAUAUUUAUUUAUAAUGCCAGCAAGCCUCAAGUUCCGGAAUACGCACCUAGGCAAGAAAGGAUCCGAGAUCUAAGUGGCAAUCUUUGGGAGCGUUCCAGUGGGGAUGGAGAAGAACUAGAAAGACUUACCAAACCGAAGAGUGAUGAGUCAGAUGAAGAUACUUUCUAACUGAUCUUUACUUCUAACAAUAACAAAGGCAUUUCCAUCAGUUAUGUGAAAUACGAAGAUGAUAUCUAUUAUGGCGAUUUAUUUUAAAGAUGCGAAGUUCUGAUAUGUAUCCACUGGAGGUCUUAUGGGCACCACUGGUUUAAGAAGGUCAGAAGUCUAGAAACCAUAUCCUACAUGUCCCUGAAAUGAGGAUAGUAUAACCUGGAGAGGAGCAAUUGUCAUGUGAAAAAGGAAGUAGACAUUUUUCUGCUCUGGAGAAUCAAACUACAAUUAAGCCCCCUAAUUUGGUGAGAAAUCUGGUUAAGUGAAGUUCCUUGAAAGCAGCACACAACUUUUCUCUAAAGCUGUGAAAUUGGCAAAGGAUAUAGUACAAGAAGAAAAAGAGAAUACAGAUGACAUCGGGGGUCCAAGAGACAUUCCAUAUUUAAGCUUCAUAAUGUCCUUAUUUGCACACAUAUACCACGCUGCCUUCAUUUUCUCCAGCUGAUAGAUUUGUGUAAGAAAUCUUGACUUUGAGAAUUCAAUGUCAUUCCCAACAGGGUCUUUAUGUCUGUCUGGUCGUGUUAUCAGCCAGUCUUACUUAAUGUAUUAGGCCAGUUGGAAACCAUCAUUAAAGAAACUGACCCUGGUGAUCACCAGAGUAGUUUCAGACUAUAAACAACACAUCAUAAAUCCCACUGCCCUUAUCUUGGCCAAGAGACAAAACUGGACAUUCUGAUGACCCCAGAGAUUAUGACAGUGUUUUCUGGUCUAAUUAAACCAUAGUCUUCAUAUACCUUUACCACACCUCCUUCCUCCAAUUAGGAAGCUAAGUGGGUAAGAAAGAAAAAAUAAAGGCAGAGCAUAACGAUGUCACCCAUCUUUGGCCUCUUAGCCGGAGCUGAUCCUUGCAUGGGCAGUAGACUAUAAGUGUGUUAAUUAUUUUUCCUACUGCAGAGUUUCUUCACGUUGGAAUGGUGAAUAGGUACACAUUUCUCAAAGCUCAAAGUGCAAGUCUAGGGAUAUUCUCUAGUUUCAAUCUUGGUGAAAUUUUUUUCUAUGAAUUCAUUACUUUUUAGUUUAUUUCAGGGAGGGGGUGGUGUUUUUUAAUGAAUUAAUACAAGUGUCAGCAUCUUUCAUGGACAUCCAGACAAUUUCUUAAAGAUGGGAGAGGUAAAAAAUCUUCAGGAGAAACUGUGCCUGAACUGUGAGUAUCCAGAAGCCAUUGACCAUGUUAAUGGUGGAGCCAAUAUGAAGUACUUGCUAAAUCAUGUGGUGCGUGAAAGGAAGAGCAGUGUUAUAAUUGCAUCCUCCUAAAGACUACAUAACCAUCAUCACUCAUCAUCUCUCCCUGGUCCCUUCCACCUGCCAAACCCCCAUAAAAACCCAUAAUUGAUGAUACAUAUUAGUUUAUAAUUAACGGUGUACCUAACUGUUCUCUACUAGUCUGAGCCUCUGUACAGAGAAAUGUCAGUUUUGUAUUCCUGGUUCCUGGAAAAGUAUAUAUAGAAUAGUAUAAAUACAAUAAAUGUUUGAAUUAUUG